UACGUAGGUGGCAAGCGUUACUCGGAAUCACUGGGCGUAAAGCGCAGGCAGGCGGUUCGGUAAGUCUCUUGUGAAAGCUCCCGGCUCAACUGGGAGAGGUCAAGGGAAACUACCGGACUAGAGUGUGGCAGAGGAAGCUGGAAUUCCCGGUGUAGCGGUGAAAUGCGUAGAGAUCGGGAGGAAUACCUAUGGCGAAAGCAGGCUUCUGGGCCGUCACUGACGCUGAUCUGCGAAAGCUAGGGGAGCAAACAGG
rnacentral:rRNA from 1 species